UCACAGAUGAAAGCCUUGCUGGAGCAGAGU
rnacentral:piRNA from 1 species